CAGCAGCCACGGGAAUACGUAGGGUGCGAGCGUUAAUCGGAAUUACUGGGCGUAAAGCGUGCGCAGGCGGUUCGUUAAGACAGAUGUGAAAUCCCCGGGCUUAACCUGGGAACUGCAUUUGUGACUGUAUAGCUAGAGUACGGCAGAGGGGGAUGGAAUUCCGCGUGUAGCAGUGAAAUGCGUAGAUAUGCGGAGGAACACCGAUGGCGAAGGCAAUCCCCUGGGCCUGUACUGACGCUCAUGCACGAAAGCGUGGGGAGCAAACAGGAUUAGAGACCCGAGUAGUCCCUGUCUCUUAUAC
rnacentral:rRNA from 1 species